rnacentral:lncRNA from 1 species
CAGGAUUAUACACGUGGAUUCCAUAAAACCAAAGCAAACUUUAUGGCAAUACGGGAAAGGGAGAAUCUCAUGGGAUUAGUAUGAAAAGAUAUUGAGUUUCCGUUGGUGGACCGCAUGUAUUACUGUUACGGAAAACAUUCCAUUUCAACGGCUUUCCCUCCCCAUGUGCUACAUACUAAAUCAGUGCUACGGUUUACUUCCACUUGGAGAAAAUGAAGAUAGCAGAGAAGGAAAGGAAAGUAAAAGUCAUGUAAAAGUGGGUCUGGAGUAAACAACAGAAGAACUGGGCUAUUUCUGAAAGAACAUGACCACCUUCAAAAGUAGGUAUUAUUGAAUGUAUGUGCAUGAUGUGGUUUUCCAUGUUUAUUAAUUCGUUU